GAAUAAUGGAAUACCAUAAAACUUUGUGGAAAACUUUUAGUUUUAUACAACGACCUGCCUUCUCAAAAAUUGGAGGCAAAAAUGGGCGGAGUUUCGGGGAGGGGGUCAUUUGUCUUUGACGAACAAGGGAAAGACGGUUUGCAGGAAGAAGUCAAGAAAAAACGGGUGGAAUGUGACUUGUUUCUGAAUCACUUCACCAUCACUGCCGACCUGAUUCACUUACGGCUCACUAGGUUUUGAUCUGAUUAGGAUGA
ensembl:ncRNA F26G1.14 ncRNA